CGAAUUCCAUGUCCGGUGAGUGUUCGAUCGCGGCGACGUGGGCGGUUCGCUGCCGCGACGUCGCGAGAAGUCCAUUGAACUUAUCAUUUAGAGGAAGGAGAAGUCGUAACAAGGUUUCCGUAGGUGAACUGCGGAAGGAUCAUUG
rnacentral:rRNA from 1 species